rnacentral:rRNA from 1 species
GGCUAACGCUGGCGGCGUGUCUUAGCCAUGCAAGUCGAGCGGACUUAUGGGGUAACUUAUAAGUCAGCGGCGGACGGCGGAGUAACACGUAGCUAACCUACCCUCUGGACGGGGAUAACCUACCGAAAGGUGGGCUAAUACCCGAUGUAGUCAUCCUGUAUAGGGGUGAUGAAAGGUGGGCUUCUGUUUACAAGCUCAUGCUGGAGGAGGGGGCUGCGGCCUAUCAGGUAGUUGGUAGGGUAAUAGCCUACCAAGCCGAUGACGGGUAGCCGGCCUGAGAGGGUGACCGGCCCGAGGGGCACUGAGAUACGGGUCCCACUCCUACGGGAGGCAGCAGGCUAGAAAUUUGGGCAAUGGGGGAAACCCUGGACCCAGUGACGCCGCGUGCAGGAAGGAGCCCUUCGGGGUGUAAACUGCUGUCGUGUAGGGAGAAGGGGUACUAAGGUGAACAAUCUUAGUACUUGACGGUACUACAGGAGGAAGCCCAGGCUAACCUCGUGCCAGCAGCCCGCGGUAAAAUGCGUACU